rnacentral:rRNA from 1 species
CGUGGGUAACCGUGCCUUAGUAGUGGGGGAGUAGCCUUUCGAAAGGAAGAUUAAUACCGCAUAAGAUUGUAGUAUCGCAUGAUAUAGCAAUUAAAGGAGCAAUUCGCUAUAAGAUGGACCCGCGUCGCAUUAGCUAGUUGGUGAGGUAAUGGCUCACCAAGGCGACGAUGCGUAGCCGACCUGAGAGGGUGAUCGGCCCACAUUGGGACUGAGACACGGCCCAGACUCCUACGGGAGGCAGCAUG